rnacentral:rRNA from 1 species
CUACGUGCCAGCAGCCGCGGUAAUACGUAGGUCCCGAGCGUUAUCCGGAUUUAUUGGGCGUAAAGCGAGCGCAGGCGGUUAGAUAAGUCUGAAGUUAAAGGCUGUGGCUUAACCAUAGUACGCUUUGGAAACUGUUUAACUUGAGUGCAGAAGGGGAGAGUGGAAUUCCAUGUGUAGCGGUGAAAUGCGUAGAUAUAUGGAGGAACACCGGUGGCGAAAGCGGCUCUCUGGUCUGUAACUGACGCUGAGGCUCGAAAGCGUGGGGAGCAAACAGGAUUAGAUACCCUGGUAGUCCACGCCGUAAACGAUGGGUACUAGGUGUAGGAGGUAUCGACCCCUUCUGUGCCGGAGUUAACGCAAUAAGUACCCCGCCUGGGGAGUACGACCGCAAGGUUGAAACUCAAAGGAAUUGACGGGGGCCCGCACAAGCGGUGGAGUAUGUGGUUUAAUUCGACGCAACGCGAAGAACCUUACCAGGUCUUGACAU